ACAAGUACCGUGAGGGAAAGUUGCAAAGCACUUUGAAGAGAGAGUUAAAGAGGACGUGAAACCGGUAAGGUGGAAACGGAUAGAGUCGGCGUAUCAUUCAAUUAUUCAGUUACAUUAUUUUUAUGUUGUGACCUCUGAGCUCCAGAUUGGGACAGAGGGAAUCAGCAUAAUUUUUUGUGGUGCAUUUACUUGAUUGGUGCUUGGGGAUGUUUGAGGCAGAUUUGUUUCCGUCGUUUUGAGCCCAGCUUGCUGGUACCCAAACGGUGUUAGCAUUUUUUGUCUUGGGCAUUUGAGUAUGGCUCACGUGUAUUUAUUGGACAGAUCUGAGUGUAAGUUACGGUCGCAUGCGACACGUGCUUAUCAAUUAGUUCGGUCCAGUUAAUGCUCUCGUACUCGUUCCCCAUGUAAAAGCCGGUCAUCUAUCCGACCCGUCUUGAAACACGGACCAAGGAGUUUAUCGUGUGCGCAAGUUUUUGGGUGUUAAAAACUUAAAAGCGAAAUGAAAGUAAAUGACUCUUUAGAGUCUGAUGUGCGAUCUUGUAAAAAAGUGUAGCAUGGCCCCAUUCUAACUGUUUACAGUAGGGUGGCGGAAGAGCGUACGCGGUGAGACCCGAAAGAUGGUGAACUAUUCCUGAGCAGGACGAAGCCAGAGGAAACUCUGGUGGAAGUCCGAAGCGGUUCUGACGUGCAAAUCGAUCGUCUGACUUGGGUAUAGGGGCGAAAGACUAAUCGAACCAUCUAGUAGCUGGUUCCUAUGUA
rnacentral:rRNA from 1 species